GGGGAUAGGUUAUCAAUUAGUGGAUUUGAAUGUGUGGUGGAGUGUGCAUUUAAGGCAAGGAUCAUCCACCAUCUAACUUCCCUCCAACAAAUACAUAUCUCACAGUGUUCAUCUGUUGUAUCCUUGGGGGGCAAUUUUUUACCCAAAUCUUUGCAAAAGCUCGAAAUCUUUUAUUGCAGCCAAAUUGAAUUACUCCAGCAACAACACAAGUAUGAUUUGGUACAUCUACAAAUAAAAUACAGCUGUGAUUCACUGACCUCAUUGUCGUUGGAUGCCUUUCCCAAUCUCCAGAAUCUUCAGAUAAUAGGGUGUUCAAAUCUGGAAUCAGUUUCAAUGUCAGAGCCACCACACGCUGCUCUUCAACGUCUCACCAUCAGUCAAUGCUCCAAAUUUGUGUCAUUGCCAUCUGACAUGAAUAGUCUUCUCCCAAAUUUACACUCUCUGGACAUAAAAGGUUGCCAAAACAUUUGUAGGUGGCCAGAGGGUGGUUUGCCGCCUAACCUGAAAGAGCUUAGUGUAGGAGAAUGCAAGGAACAAGUGAGGGGUGUAUCAUGGUUGGGCAACUUGGACAACCUCACUCAUCUCACCAUUUCUGGUGUUGGGUGUGAGAGCAUAAAGUCAUACCCAGAGGUGGGUUCGCUGCCUCGCCUUCCCUCCCUCACCACUCUACAUAUCCAUGACUUUGAUAAUCUGGAGACAUUGAAGUGCAACGAACUUCUCCGCCUCACCUCCCUCCAACAACUACACAUUUCAUCCUGUCACAAGCUGAAGAAUAUGGAAGGAGAAAAGCUGCCUCCCUCUCUCUUACUACUUCAACUUUAUUUCUGUGGUUUUCUGGGCAAACACUGCGAGAACAAGCAUCAACAAAUUUGGUCCAAAAUUUCCCACAUCCCCACCAUUCAAGUCAAUGGCAUACAAAUUCUUUGAUUUCUGAACAGGUGGCUUGUGUACAUAUCAAGACGUAAUCCUAUACAUUGGCUUCAUAUCUUCAUUUAAUUCUAAGUUCAUUUGAGGUGGUAAUUAAUCUGGAUUAAGGUGUUGGGAACCAGAUACUGUGUUUUCUGAUUUUGGCUUAAUGAUAUUGAAAAGCAAGGAUAUGAUGGAGAAAGUUAGAGUAGUGGCACUUACUGUUGAAAAGCUUUUGUUGUUGUAGUAUUAUGACCAUAUCUUCAUCAUGCUUCACGGAUUCGGACUCUAAUGUUACUUCUUCAUCGAGCAAUCCCACUGGAAUCUUCAAGCUUUGUUUCCCCAUCGUCCUUCAGAAAUUCAGCUGUAUCUUCAUCCAGCACUUCCACUGGAAUCUCUUUUAGUGCAUAGAUGCACGAUGAAUGUUGUUUUGCUUUCUCAUUUUGUUCUUCAUUUUUGGAACUACGGUCAGGGCCAUCCUCGUCUAUAACUCCCACA